rnacentral:rRNA from 1 species
UACAGAGGGGGCAAGCGUUGUUCGGAAUUACUGGGCGUAAAGGGCGCGUAGGCGGCCCGCUAAGUCGAACGUGAAAUCCCCGAGCUCAACUCGGGAACUGCGUCCGAUACUGGCGGGCUUGAAUCCGGGAGAGGGAUGCGGAAUUCCAGGUGUAGCGGUGAAAUGCGUAGAUAUCUGGAGGAACACCGGUGGCGAAGGCGGCAUCCUGGACCGAGAUCGACGCUGAGGCGCGAAAGCUAGGGGAGCAAACGGG